AGCGAACGCUGGCGGCAGGCCUAAAACAUGCAAGUCGAGCGCUCGUAGCAAUACGGGAGCGGCAGACGGGUGAGUAACACGUGGGAACGUACCCUUUGGUUCGGAACAACCCAGGGAAACUUGGGCUAAUACCGGAUAAGUCCGCAAGGAGAAAGAUUUAUCGCCGAAGGAUCGGCCCGCGUCUGAUUAGCUUGUUGGUGAGGUAACGGCUCACCAAGGCGACGAUCAGUAGCUGGCCUGAGAGGAUGAUCAGCCACACUGGGACUGAGACACGGCCCAGACUCCUACGGGAGGCAGCAGUUAGGAAUCUUGGACAAUGGGCGCAAGCCUGAUCCAGCCAUGCCGCGUGAGUGAUGAAGGCCCUAGGGUUGUAAAGCUCUUUCAGCGGGGAAGAUAAUGACGGUACCCGCAGAAGAAGCCCCGGCUAACUUCGUGCCAGCAGCCGCGGUAA
rnacentral:rRNA from 1 species